rnacentral:rRNA from 1 species
AUUGAACGCUGGCGGCAGGCCUAACACAUGCAAGUCGAACGAGCGGCGGACGGGUGAGUAAUGUCUGGGGAACUGCCCGAUGGAGGGGGAUAACUACUGGAAACGGUAGCUAAUACCGCAUACCAUCGGAUGUACCCAUAUGGGAUUAGCUUGUAGGUGAGGUAACGGCUCACCUAGGCGACGAUCCCUAGCUGGUCUGAGAGGAUGAUCAGCCACACUGGGACUGAGACACGGCCCAGACUCCUACGGGAGGCAGCAGUGGGGAAUAUUGCACAAUGGGCGCAAGCCUGAUGCAGCCAUGCCGCGUGUAUGAAGAAGGCCUUAGGGUUGUAAAGUACUUUCAGCGGGGAGGCGUUACCCGCAGAAGAAGCACCGGCUAACUCCGUGCCAGCAGCCGCGGUAAUAC